rnacentral:rRNA from 1 species
UACGGAGGAUCCAAGCGUUAUCCGGAAUCAUUGGGUUUAAAGGGUCCGUAGGCGGUUUUGUAAGUCAGUGGUGAAAGCCCAUCGCUCAACGGUGGAACGGCCAUUGAUACUGCAAGACUUGAAUUAUUGGGAAGUAACUAGAAAUAUGUAGUGUAGCGGUGAAAUGCUUAGAGAUUACAUGGAAUACCAAUUGCGAAGGCAGGUUACUACCAA